GACGAACGCUGGCGGCGUGCUUAACACAUGCAAGUCGAACGGAAAGGCCCUGCUUUUGUGGGGUGCUCGAGUGGCGAACGGGUGAGUAACACGUGAGUAACCUGCCCUUGACUUUGGGAUAACUUCAGGAAACUGGGGCUAAUACCGGAUAGGAGCUCCUGCUGUAUGGAGGGGGUUGGAAAGUUUCGGCGGUUGGGUAUGGACUCGCGGCUUAUCAGCUUGUUUGUGGGGUAGUGGCUUACCAAGGCUUUGACGGGUAGCCGGCCUGAGAGGGUGGCCGGCCACAUUGGGCCUGAGAUACGGCCCAGACUCCUACGGGCGGCAGCAGUGGGGAAUAUUGCACGAUGGGCGGAAGCCAGAUGCAGCAACGCCGCGUGCGGGAAGACGGCCUUCGGGUGGUGAACCGCUUUCGCCUGUGACGAAGCGUGAGUGACGGUAAUGGGUAAAGAAGCACCGGCUAACUACGUG
rnacentral:rRNA from 1 species